UUUAAGAGGUAAUGUGUGCCAUGUGCAUGCAGUACUCACUGAGACCAGAAGAGGUCACUAAAUUCCCCUGGAGUGGAUGUUGCAGAAGGUUGUGAAUUGCCACAUGGGUGCUGUCUGUCCACCUUCAUUUAUAUGAGAGGCUGAUAGGAAGGGGAUUUUUUUUUUAUUGCUAAAGAGUAUUCUAAGACAGGCAUGGUGGUGGUACCUGCCUAUAAUACUAGCACUGUAAUGCCAGGCUGAAGAGAGUUUGAGACCACCCUGGGCUACAAAACAACCACCCUGUCUCAAACAGGACAACCAAGAGUGAUCCAGCCUUCAAUCUGUAAAUAAACCAACCUCUGAUCUAGGUACCCAGCUUCUUAUUCACAUGAACGGAGAACAGAGAUUACCAAAUAACGACACCAUAGAUUCUGUACCUUUUACUUAACUGCCGGUGGAGCCUUUCUUCUUUAGCUUUGUGUGUGCACCUGAGUGUGUUUGGUAUAUCCACGUGCCUGUUUGUGUGUGCUUACUUGUGAACACGGGCGUACGUGCGACAGCAUAGAGGUCAGAGGGCGAGCUCAGGUACGGGUCCUUGCCUUUCACCUUGUUGGAGGCCAUGUAUCUUGGUCGUUCAGCACAGCCUAUGCCAAGCUAGCUGACCUGUGAGCUUCUGGGGAUUCUCCUCUCUCCACCUCAACGCUCAUCAGUUUUUAUCAAUUCGACACAAACCUAAAUGUGAUGGUUUGAAUGUGCUUGGCCCAGGGAGUGGCACUAUUUGGAGGUGUGGCCUUGUAGGAGUAGGUGUGUCACUGUGGGCGUGGGCUUUAAGACUCUCAUCCUAGCUGCCUGGAAGCCAGUCUGCUAGCAGCCUUCAGAUGAAGAUGUAGAACUCUCAGCUCCUCCUGCACUGUGCCCACCUGGAUGCUGCCGUGUUCCUGCCUUGAUGAUAAUGGACUGAACCUCUGAACGUAAGAUCUGAUUUGUGACCCCUGAGAGAGGGUUGUUCGAGCCCCAGAGAAGGUCACAACCCACAGGCUGCUCUAGAGGCACGGGAAAUGUGCAAUGAGACUCAGGCUGAGGAACUCCAGCUGCAGCAGUGUUCACCUAUAAUAUUGAUCGUGCUAAGUCUCCAGAUACAAGAUCAAUCUGAACUGAACGACUGGUACCCCUGAAAUCAUGACAUGGAGAAAUGGUCACAGCUCAGAAAGUGAAAAGGAAGAAAAAGAUGAGACUGCAACAGUGUGUCCACACACCCUCAAUUUGUGCUUAAAGAGGACGCCUGUUCGUUGUUGCAAAUUAAAAGACAAAG